rnacentral:rRNA from 1 species
UACGGAGGGUGCAAGCGUUAAUCGGAAUUACUGGGCGUAAAGCGCACGCAGGUGGCUGAGAAAGUCGAUUGUGAAAGCCCUGGGCUUAACCUGGGAAUUGCAGUCGAAACUACUCGGCUAGAGUAUGGGAGAGGGUAGUGGAAUUCCCGGUGUAGCGGUGAAAUGCGUAGAUAUCGUGAGGAAUACCAGAGGCGAAGGCGGCUACCUGGACAAUUGCUGACGCUCAGGCACGAAAGCGUGGGGAGCAAAAGGG